ACGAACGCUGGCGGCGUGCUUCAUACAUGCAAGUCGAACGAUAAGGUCUCUUCGGAGAUACAUAAGUGGCGGACGGGUGAGUAAUGUGUAGAGAAUCUGCCCCAGAGAGGGGGACAACAGUUGGAAACGACUGCUAAUACCGCAUAUGCGCGUACCUGUGAUGGUAUUCGUGAAAACUUCGGUGCUCUGGGAUGAGUCUGCAUCUGAUUAGCUAGUUGGGGGUGUAAUGGACCACCAAGGCGACGAUCAGUAGCUGGUUUGAGAGGAUGAUCAGCCACAAUGGGACUGAGACACGGCCCAUACUCCUACGGGAGGCAGCAGUAGGGAAUUUUGCGCAAUGGGCGAAAGCCUGACGCAGCAACGCCGCGUGAUUGAAUAAGCCCUUCGGGGUGUAAAGAUCUGUCAGUGGGGACGAAACUUGACGGUACCCACAGAGGAAGCAUCGGCUAACUCCGUGCCAGCAGCGGC
rnacentral:rRNA from 1 species